ensembl:snRNA U6 U6 spliceosomal RNA
GUGCUUGUUUCUCCAGCACAUAUACUAAAAUUGGAAUAAUUCAGAGAUUAGCAUGGCCCCUGCACAAGGAUGACAUGCAAAUUUUCAAAGCAUCCCGUGUGUGU